CCUACGGGAGGCAGCAGUGGGGAAUAUUGGGCAAUGGGCGCAAGCCUGACCCAGCAACGCCGCGUGAAGGAAGAAGGCUUUCGGGUUGUAAACUUCUUUUAUUGAGGACGAAACAAAUGACGGUACUCAAUGAAUAAGCCACGGCUAACUACGUGCCAGCAGCUGCGGUAAUACGUAGGUGGCAAGCGUUAUCCGGAUUUACUGGGUGUAAAGGGCGUGUAGGGGGGACUGCUAGUCAGAUGUGAAACCGAUGGGCUCAACCCAUGGCCUGUAGUUGAAACUGUAGGUCUUGAGUGAGGGAGAGGCAUGCGGAAUGCGGGGUGUAGCGGUGAAAUGCGUAGAUAUACGGAGGAACACCGGUGGCGAAGGCGGCCUGCUGGAGAUUAACUGACGCUGAGGCGCGAAAGCGUGGGGAGCAAACAGGAUUAGAUACCCUUGUAGUC
rnacentral:rRNA from 1 species